CUCUCAUCCUCCCUCUCUUCUUCCUUCCUUCCUCUCCUCCUCCUCGUGCUGCUCUGCCAGUAAAGCCUGUUCCUGCUCACCGUGGCCAGGCUGAUGUGGGAUGCAAGCAGCUCCAUGUGAAUGCCUUUUUGCUCUUUAUAAAUAGCAGCUGUACGGCUGCCGUGGCUAUCAGGAUCAGGGAGUGAUCUCCUUUUCUACUCAUUCCUCUCCUCCACACUCCCUUCAGUCCUCGUGCCUGCCUGUUUGUGUUAUUUCUCACCAGCAGACACUCCGCUACCCCACACAUCCCUCUCCAGAGGGCAGACUGUGGGUUACGUUCCCUCUUCUCCUCGGCUGGGCUGUGUGGGAUUCGGAGUCAGAGCGCUGAGAGAUGUAUUCCCUCUGAAACCAGGAGUGAGGGGGGGCAAGAAGUAACUCUGCUGCCGUAGAGGCAGCAUCGGCGUCGACAGCGGUGGCAACAGUGAGCGUGUGAGAGAGAGAUUAGAGUAGUGGAGCACUUUGCUGAGCUGAGCUGUGCCAUAGCGUGUUCCGUCUGGCUCCGUGCGCUCUGGUGAGGCAGGGGCGUCCAGGAGGGGAGACAUGUGGCUCAGCCCAAAGCCUCAGGACCAGGACCAGUGACGAGCAGCCCUCAGCAGCCUCUAGCAGUAUGGCAGAGCCAGAGACCCACUGAUGAUUCCAGCCUGACUGAUGCCAGCCCAUGUGUGGGUUACCAUGCGCCACAGCCACGCCGCACCAGAGGGAAACACAGCCAUGUGAUAGUGGACUCGGUCGAAGAGCAACUCUUGGACAUGUUUUCCAGGGAAAAGUUUGUAUUUUUCUCAAUUUUUGAACUUGUUUUGUUUCUCUUGGUGCUGUUUGGCGGUCCAGAGCUCAGCCACCAGGCAAGGACUAAAGCCAGAUGGAACAAGGGGGAUGCUGGCCUCGCUGAGGGUUGGUGGCACACCAGUGGACCUGAUGUCCCCAUNNNNNNNNNNCUGCAUUGACCACAUCUCUAUGAGAUGAAUGGAUUCAUUACAGGCUGUGAGAGGAGCAGGAUUGGAGUUCCACAUGGGGACGAAUGGCACUGACAACUGGG
rnacentral:lncRNA from 13 species